rnacentral:lncRNA from 1 species
GCCAAAUCUGAGCAAGUGUUUUGCACAGACUCUUGACAUAAAACUCAUACCUGGAAGGGAAAACUUGGGUCAGAAUUUGUCCAUCCCAGUCAACUCCUUUGGAGAGCCCAGCGAGGAGCUGCACAACGGAUACUGCCAGUUUAGAUUUUAAAGCAGUUUCCCAUGGAUUCCUUAUACCCUACUUGAAAAAUCAGAGCAAGAAACAGGCCUCUUUCGAACCACUGCAGGCCCUGCUUCACAAAGGAAAUGAUGCUGUAAAAAAGAUUCUGCCUAGGAGAUACUAAGUCCCCGGUAGGUUUCACUGCCACUAAAUAUUACAGAGAAUUCCAAAAAGUGACUGGACAUUUCCAUAAUUAAUUAAAAUCUU